ACUCUUCUACCUCUUGAAUAUUUGGAACACCAAAAAAAGGAAGAUCUGCCAGCUUUACCAUGGCUAACUGAUGAUGUAAGUACAUUUAGUGGGGAACCUAAUUGUUGUUGGAAAAUACCUGUAAUACAAUGUCAUUAUAUUUUCUCAGAUUGUGAACUGCAGGAUUUCUCAGUUAGUAGAUGGACAGAAGGUAGGUGUAAAUAAUAUUUACUCUUUUUACAUUUUCAAACAUUGUUUUACAUUACUGUUUUACCCAUUACUCUGUUUUUAGUUCAAGGUCCUCCCUACAUUUGAGUUUGUUUGCUGGUGGCGUGACAUUAAAACCACAGGAUCAAUUACCUCUCGCAACAAGAAGAUUCUUCAGGACCUGCACCCAGACACAGUCAUUUUGUUUCCCAGGAUUGUUGGUGGUAAAACACCUGAAAGUGGAAACCAUUUCAUUCUUUGGGUGAUUGAUGGAGUCCUGAAACAAAUCAGAGUUUAUGACUCUCUCCAACUGUAUCCUUCACCCAAUGACUGGGAGAUGGACAUACUAAGACAGGCCUUUCA
rnacentral:lncRNA from 1 species